rnacentral:lncRNA from 1 species
CCGGGAACAGGCCGGGCUGGAACAGCCUAUCCUGGAUUACUUGAACCGGGCCGCGACCCCCGUUACCCCCAUCUCCCCUCCGUUCCCAGCCGCUGUCACCGCCCGUUAACGGGAUCCCGGGGUGGGCGGGGGGUGUCCCCGGACCUCCCCGUUCCACCGGCAGCGCCUCCGAGACCGGCGGAGGGAGGAGGGGGGAGGCGUCCGGUGUGGGGGGGGGAUCAACAGGAGGGUGACGGGAGCGGGGACACCGAGCGGGGACACCGAGAGGGGACACCGAGCGGGGAUACCGAGGGGGGCACCGAGCGGGGGCACCGAGCGGGACACCGGACGGGGACACCGAGCGGGACACCGGACGGGGACACCGAGCGGGGGAACCGAGCGGGGACACCGAGGGGGGCACCGAGAGGGGGCACCGGACGGGGACACCGGGCGGGGCACCGAGCGGGGGCACCGAGCGGGACCACCGAGCGGGGACACCGAGCGGGGGCACCGGGCGGGGACACCGAACGGGGAUACCGAGCGGGGGCACCGGGCGGGGACACCGAGCCGGGACACCGGACGGGGACACCGGAUGGGGACACCGAGCGGGGACACCGGGCGGGGACACCGGACGGGGACACCGAGCGGGGACACCGAGCGGGGGCACCGAGCGGGGACACCGGAUCGGGACACCGGACCGGGACACCAGGCAGGACACCGAGAGGGGACACCGAGCGGGGGCGCCGAGCGGGGAUACCGAACGGGGAUACCGAAUGGGGAUACCGAGCGGGGGCACCGAGCGGGGACACCGGGGGGGGGAUACCGGCGGGGGACACCGGACGGGGACACCGGACGGGGACACAGAGGGGGACACCGGACCAGCCCCUCCCCCCCCCCCCGUACCUGCCGUUCCCGCCGUUCCCACCGGGGGGGGGGGGCGGGGGGGGCGGGGCGCGCGCGCCCACCGGAGCCGCGGCGGUUUCCAGGCGCCCCCCGGGGCGGGGCCGCCGCCGCCAUUUCGGUACAGGGCCAAACGAGGGGGGGGCCUUGAAAAGGGUGGAGGGCGCUGAUUGGAUAAGCGGGGAAAGGGGCGGGGCUUAG